ACCGUGAACAGCUGACCAGAAGAGAGCGGAAUGAUCCUAUGAAUCAGCGUUUGCCAAGUUGGUCGUAAUAAUGUGAUAAAAAAGUCUGUUUCUGAGGGGGACAAAAAAUGGACAAUGCUAGAAGUAAUCAAGGACGAUGUUUGGCUGAUGUCAGAGUCGGUUGGUGAUCGGUGGCUGGUCAGAAUCUGAUGGGGACACAGUUGAGCACCUGUCUUCAAUCAGCCUCAUCACCACCAGUGUACAUAAGCCUGCCUGUUCCCGGAAAUCCUCGCCUAAUGGCCUCCUGUGUUCCUGACCUACGUCAUUCCUGCCACCAAGCCUGCCACCUGUCCACGCCGCCGCCUGCCAACACAUCCAGGACCACCUCCAUAACCUUUCCUCAAUAAACUUCAUAAUUUUACAUCUGCCCCCGCCUGCUCUUUGGUCCAGCUACUCCCCACACGUGACAGAAUACUUAGAACCUCAUGUCCCUCCGCCCGAGCCCUACUCCGAGGACCUAGGUGCAUGUAGCCAGUUUAUUCUUAAUUGCUCACUCGUAUUUAAUCUCCAACCGUACAGUUGUCCCACCGAACUUUCCAAAGUAACAUAUGUCACUAACCUCCUCCGCGGCAAAGCAGCAAAAUGGUCCAUUUCAUUAUGGCAAAACUCCUCUCCGGUACUUCAUUCAUUCGAUCCGAACUCCGCAAAGUAUUUGAACAUCCCAGUUCAGGGCAAAGAAGCCACCCAUCGCCUCCUCACGUUCACGCCGGGCGCUGAAUCAGCAGCGGAAUAUUCCAUUGAGUUCCGGAUAUUGGCAUGUGAAUGCGGGUGGUGACGACGCGGCGCUUGGGGGCAUUUUUUCAAAUGGCCUCUCCGACCAACUCAAGGAUGAGCUAUCGGUCCGGUACGAGCCCUCCUCUUGAGGAUCUCUCCGCCCUUUCCAUUAGGCUUGAUAACCGACUGCGAGAGAGAACACGAGAGAGGAGGGUCCGCGUAUGUAAGAAUCCUCCCACUUCUCACCCGAGUCCCGCACCGUCUCCCGCACUUCCAUCACUCCCCGUAGCUACCACAGAGCCCACGCAAAUUGGUGAAACGCGUCUCGACCAACAGGAGCGUCAGCGUCGAGUCAUUCAGCGGCUGUGUAUCUACUGCGGUCAAUCCGGUCACUUUAUUUCCUCAUGCCCCCCGCGGACGGCGACCGCGCUGACGUCACUGCGUCAAUCCCUUCGCAGUUUGCCUCUAUAUAUAUAUCUCUAUAUAUGCCUCUUUGAAAUUGUCCUGCAGUUCUCCUCCAAGUCGGGGGUGUCGCUACGGCCGGGAUUGGCUAGGACGCCAUAGGAUGGAGUUUCCUCUGCAUUUAUUGGCCAUUUCUUGUAGCCGUUUUUACUUUCCUUUCCGUAACAAGGAACAAUGCAACAAAAAUGGCGACCGUCGAACAGAGUCUGCGAGAACAAAUGGACCUAGAUGAACAGAUGAUACGUUUAAUUAUGCUGCAAAUAGAUCAAGAAGGCGGUGGCGUGGGUGCUACGUGGAACCAGGAGGAACGCUGAUUACGUCAUCACAGCAUGUGACUAAAACGGACCAAUCACAACAAAAACGUGCAAAAACGUGCAGGAACGCUCAAAAACAUGCAAGAAAAUGUUCCCGCUCCAGAAAGCUCCCUGAAAACAGACACGCAAAGUCUGAGCUUUAAGUAUAUAGAUGUUGCCGAAUGUGCUUGAAGCUAUUAUAAUCACAGGUCCUUCUAAAGGUGAGACAGCAUUUCUACCCCGAAUAGCAUUUUAUAAUGAUUUACCAAUUCAAGUCAGAAGGCUUCAGUUUCCAAUAUCAAUUUGUUUCUGGAUUUCACAUGGUUAGUUUUAUGUUGGUUGGCAGAUCUAAUGAUUUCUGUAUACUGUCAGAGAAUAAGAUGACAACAAAUAUUGUCAAUCCUGAAGCA